GGCCUGAUAGCUCAGGGGUUAAGAGCACUAGACAUGUAAUCCAGACAUAGUGGUUUGCUGGUUCAAAUCCAGCUCAGGUCA